GACGGGGGAUGCAAGUGUUAUCCGGAAUUACUGGGCGUAAAGCGUGCGCAGGCGGUUUUGUAAGCCAGAUGUGAAAUCCCCGGGCUUAACCUGGGAAUGGCAUUUGGGACUGCAAGGCUAGAGUAUGGCAGAGGAGACUAGAAUUCCUGGUGUAGCAGUGAAAUGCGUAGAUAUCAGGAGGAAUACCGAUGGCGAAGGCAGGUCUCUGGGUCAAUACUGACGCUCAUGCACGAAAGCGUGGGGAGCAAACAGG
rnacentral:rRNA from 1 species